rnacentral:lncRNA from 1 species
CCCCGCCCAGGGCCUGGUGGUGGGCUCUGGAGGUGGUUGUGUAUUUCGCCGCCCUCGCCUGGCCUUCCUGCCUUACACCCUCAGGCUCUUCAGGCCGCAACUGUGUAGCACGCUGUGCUCACCUUCCUCCAACAGAGCUGCACCCCUCCUGAGAGCAAACUGAUGGUUUGUAACUCCCCCAUCCUUACUCCUUCUCAACCAUUGCCCUCUCUGGGCAUCUCUCCUUUCUUGAAGCACUUUGAAGGACCCUUCAAUCCCGUGAGCCCUCUGGAGAGUUGGGUAGGAUGUGAGCCAUGCAUGCCCAGGGUACCCAAACCUGGGCCACAGAGCCGAUCUCUCCCCAGUGCUGAGAAGCCAUACAAGGCCAAGUCCGGAAGGGAGCUAGACAGAUACAAGGAAUGAUGGGUGAUGUCAGACAGCCCGGCUGGCACCUCAGCCAAGAUGCUGGAGAGAUGGCUCGGAGGUUAAGAGCACUGACUGCUCUUCCAGAGGUCCUGAGUUCAAUUCCCAGCAACCACAUGGUGGCUCACAACCAUCUGUUAUGAGAUCUGGUGCCCUCUUCUUGUGUGCAGAUAUACAUGGAAGCAGAAUGUUGUAUACAUAAUAA